rfam:Brassica napus, WGS project CCCW01000000 data, contig: 1346
GGAAUAUAAGAACCCGUCUUUUAACUUUUAAUUAAAAAAGUUAGAACCGUCUCUUAAAUUUUAUUUAAAACCGGUUACUUAACUUUUUUAGUUAAAAGUUAAGAGACGGAUUCUUAUAUUCC